AGUGAACGCUGGCGGUAGGCCUAACACAUGCAAGUCGAACGGCAGCACAGUAAGAGCUUGCUCUUACGGGUGGCGAGUGGCGGACGGGUGAGGAAUACCUCGGCAUCUACUUUUUCGUGGGGGAUAACGUAGGGACACUUACGCUAAUACCGCAUACGACCUACGGGUGACAUCAGGGGAUCUUCGGACCUUGCGCGAUUGUAUGAGCCGAUGUCGGAUUAGCUAGUUGGCGGGGUAAAGGCCCACCAAGGCGAAGAUCCGUAGCUGGUCUGAGAGGAUGAUCAGCCACACUGGAACUGAGACACGGUCCAGACUCCUACGGGAGGCAGCAGUGGGGAAUAUUGGACAAUGGGCGCAAGCCUGAUCCAGCCAUACCGCGUGGGUGAAGAAGGCCUUCGGGUUGUAAAGCCCUUUUGUUGGGAAAGAAAAGCAGCAGGUUAAUACCCCGCUGUUCUGACGGUACCAAAAGAAUAAGCACCGGCUAACUUCGUG
rnacentral:rRNA from 1 species